AAUAAACGCUGGCGGCGUGCCUAACACAUGCAAGUCGAGCGAGAAAGCUCCUUCGGGAGUGAGUACAGCGGCGAACGGGUGAGCAACGCGUGGGAAUCUACCCUUCAGUGAAGAAUACCCUUGAGAAAUCGAGGUUAAUACUGCAUACGUACUGUAAAGGAGAAAGAUGGCCUCUUUGCUGUCGUUGAAGGAUGAGCCUGCGUACUAUUAGCUAGGUGGUAGGGUAACGGCCUACCAAGGCGAUGAUGGUUAACCGGCCUGAGAGGAUGAACGGUCACACAGGGACUGAGACACGGCCCAGACUCCUACGGGAGGCAGCAGUGGGGAAUCUUGGACAAUGGGCGCAAGCCUGAUCCAGCUAUGCCGCGUGAGUGAAGAAGGUCUGCGGAUUGUAAAGCUCUUUUGCCAGGGACGAUAAUGACGGUACCUGGAGAAUAAGCCCCGGCAAACUUCGUGCAGCCGCCGCAGUAA
rnacentral:rRNA from 1 species